rnacentral:rRNA from 1 species
GAUGAACGCUGGCGGCGUGCCUAAUACAUGCAAGUCGAGCGAACAGACGAGGAGCUUGCUCCUCUGACGUUAGCGGCGGACGGGUGAGUAACACGUGGAUAACCUACCUAUAAGACUGGGAUAACUUCGGGAAACCGGAGCUAAUACCGGAUAAUAUAUUGAACCGCAUGGUUCAAUAGUGAAAGACGGUUUUGCUGUCACUUAUCGAUGGAUCCGCGCCGCAUUAGCUAGUUGGUAAGGUAACGGCUUACCAAGGCAACGAUGCGUAGCCGACCUGAGAGGGUGAUCGGCCACACUGGAACUGAGACACGGUCCAGACUCCUACGGGAGGCAGCAGUAGGGAAUCUUCCGCAAUGGGCGAAAGCCUGACGGAACAACGCCGCGUGAGUGAUGAAGGUCUUCGGAUCGUAAAACUCUGUUAUUAGGGAAGAACAAAUGUGUAAGUAACUAUGCACGUCUUGACGGUACCUAAUCAGAAAGCCACGGCUAACUACGUG